GCUGGGUGUGGUGGCACACGCCUGUAAUCCCAGCUACUUGGGAGGCUGAGGCAGGAGAAUCGUUUGAACCCGGGAGGCAGAGGUUGCAGUGAGCUGAGAUCACGCCACUGCUCUCCAGCCUGGGUAACAAAGCGAGACUCCGUCUCAA
ensembl:misc_RNA Metazoa_SRP Metazoan signal recognition particle RNA